UUUUGAAGUUAAAAAGCGUAACAAGGUUUCCGUAGGUGAACCUGCGGAAGGAUCAUUAUCGAAUUUAAAGCUUGGUUGAGCUGUCGCUUCGGCGUAUGUGCUCGCCUCGCCGUCCAUUCUCAACACCUGUGCACACUCAAGUCGAUUUCUCUCUCUAUCUUGGAUGAAACGGAAUGGUCUUCUUUUAGGAGCUGUUUCUAUUGUUCGAGGUGAUUGGGAUUGAGGCUGCCUUUUAACACACCCUUCUUCUAAAAUGUCCAUGAACGUCAAAUGUAGGCUCGCCGUAAAAACGUGAUGCUGAAAUUAAAAUUAAUACAACUUUUAACAACGGAUCUCUUGGCUCUCGCAUCGAUGAAGAACGCAGCGAAAUGCGAUAAGUAAUGUGAAUUGCAGAAUUCAGUGAAUCAUCGAAUCUUUGAACGCACCUUGCGCUCCUUGGUAUUCCGAGGAGCAUGCCUGUUUGAGUGUCAUUAAAUUCUCAACCUCAUAACGUUUUCGAACGGCCUUUGAGGCUUGGACUUUGGAGCGUGCCGGUUCUCUCUAAUGAGUCGGCUCCUCUUUAAAUGCAUUAGCUGGAACCUCUUGUGGACCAGACUACGGUGUGAUAAUUAUCUACGCUGUGGCCUUGUGAAGCACUUUGUCAUGGGGUUCUGCUUCCAACCGUCCUUUACUUGGACAACUUAUGACAUUUUGACCUCAAAUCAGGUAGGACUACCCGCUGAACUUAAGCAUAUCAAUAGGGGCGGGAGGAA
rnacentral:rRNA from 1 species